rnacentral:rRNA from 1 species
AGUGAACGCUGGCGGUAGGCCUAACACAUGCAAGUCGAACGGCAGCACAGGAGAGCUUGCUCUCUGGGUGGCGAGUGGCGGACGGGUGAGGCAUACAUCGGAAUCUGCCCAGUCGUGGGGGUUAACGUAGGGAAACUUACGCUAAUACCGCAUACGUCUUUCGGGUGAAUGAGGGGGAUCGCAAGACCUUUCGCGGUUGGGUGAGCGGAUGUCGGAUUAGCUAGUUGGGGGGGUAAUGGCACACCAAGGCGACGAUCCGAAGCUGGUCUGAGAGGAUGACCCGCCACACUGGAACUGAGACACGGUCCAGACUCCUACGGGAGGCAGCAGUGGGGAAUAUUGCGCAAUGGGCGAAAGCCUGAUCCAGCAAUACCGCGUGAGUGAUGAAGGCCUUCGGGUUGUAAAGCCCUGUUGUUGGGAAAGAAAUAAUGCAGGCUAAUACCCUGUGAUGAUGACGGUACCCAAAGAAUAAGCACCGGCUAACUUCGUG